AGAGUUCGGUUAUGGUUUGAUUUAGGAUUUAAGAUUUGAUUAAGGUUUGAUUUAGGGUUUAGAAUUUGGUUAAGAUUUGAUUUAGGAUUAUGGUUGGAUUAGGAUUUGAUUUAGGAUUUAGGAUUUUAUUAGGAUUUGAUUUAGGAUUAGAAUUUAUUUAAGAUUGUUUAGGUUUUGAUUACGAUUUGAUUAGAAUUUAUUUAGAAUUUGUUUAGAAUUUGGUUAGGAUUUAUUUAGGAUUUUUUAGGGUUUGGUUAGGAUUUGGUUAGAGUUUAUCUAGGAUUGUUUAGGAUUUGGUUAGGAUUUGAUUAGGAUUUGGUUAGGAUUUUUAGGGCUUGUUGUUACAAUUUUUUCUUUUAUCUUCUACAGCCAGGUGCUUGGUGCAUUCUCAAGCCAAAUACCACAUAAUACGACAGUGGCGAAAGAUUUAGCAAUUCAUUUGUCAAAGCUACAUGCAACGAUGAAGGUGCAAUUAAAAGUAGCUCAAGAAAAAGAAAAGGUCAAUGCGGAUGUCUAUCAAAAGGAACAACCACCAUUCCACAUGGGUGACUAGGUAUGGUUACUUUGUUGCAAUAUCAAGACCAUUCGUCCUUGUGAUAAGUUGGACUAUCAAAGGCUUAGACUAUUUUCUAUUUUUAUACAAAUCAAUCUUAUUGCAUAUCAUUUACACCUAU
rnacentral:lncRNA from 1 species